rnacentral:lncRNA from 1 species
UGGAGAGGUACAUAUAAAUUGAGUGCGUCUGGUAUAAUUCUGAAAGCACGGAGUAUUUUUUAUUUUCAAAUUAUUUUUGAUGUUCGGACUUUUGAAUCGAUGAUCGGCUCCGUUAGACUUGAUUUAGAGUAUUUGAAGUAUUUAGAAAAUAAAUUUUGUGAUUUUUCGAUAUCAUUUGCCUAGUGAUCGAAGUGACUCAAAAUCAACGGCUGAAAAUAAAAAUCUUACAAAAUAUAAUGAUAUGACAUUAAAAUUUUAGAUCAAAGUUAUUGAUCUUGUUUUGUAUCGUAUAAAAAAUUUUCUAUCAAAAUUUUAUAUGAUUUGGAUAUUUCUACACCGUUAAACUUGCAAACGG